AUUGAACGCUGGCGGCAGGCCUAACACAUGCAAGUCGAACGCGUGGCGGACGGGUGAGUAAUGUCUGGGAAACUGCCCGAUGUAGGGGGAUAACUCCUGGAAACUGUAUCUAAUACCGCAUACCCUCUCAUGUGCCCCGAUGGGAUUAUCUUGUAGGUGAGGGAACGGCUCACCUAGGCGACGAUCCCUAGCUGGUCUGAGAGGAUGACCAGCCACACUGGAACUGAGACACGGUCCAGACUCCUACGGGAGGCAGCAGUGGGGAAUAUUGCACAAUGGGCGCAAGCCUGAUGCAGCCAUGCCGCGUGUAUGAAGAAGGCCUUCGGGUUGUAAAGUACUUUCAGCGGGGAGGCGUUACCCGCAGAAGAAGCACCGGCUAACUCCGUGCCAGCCGCCGCGGUAAUUC
rnacentral:rRNA from 1 species